rnacentral:lncRNA from 1 species
UUCACAUUAUUAUAAUUACAUGUUUAUGUGUUUGGUUGAUUUUAAAUUAGUUCUUGAUUGUUUAUCUCAAUUUAUGUGUCUGAUUGAUCCUUAUAAAUUCCCGAUUAAUAUUUCGUUAGUUUUAUUUGAUCUAAAAGUCAUUUGGUUUGUUGCUUUGGUGAAUAUUUAUUAAAUUUGACUUUUAGAGGCCAUUGGAAAAUCAUGAAGAUUGGCCUCUACCAUCACCAUUAUCAUUUUUGUUAAUUACUAAAAAAGUUUACUUUGAGGUUUCGUUUUUGUUUUGUUUGGUAUUUUAUUUCUUAUAUUUUAUUUUUUCCCAAAUUAAUUCCUUUUAUUUUAAAAUAAAAUACUUUUCCCAAA